GACAACGUGGCCGAGUGGUUAAGGCGAUGCCCUGCUAAGGCAUUGUGUUCGCACGCGUAGGUUCGAAUCCUGCCGUUNNNN
rnacentral:tRNA from 1 species